CCUACGGGAGGCAGCAGUAGGGAAUAUUGCUCAAUGGGGGAAACCCUGAAGCAGCAACGCCGCGUGGAGGAUGAAGGUUUUCGGAUUGUAAACUCCUUUUGUUAGAGAAGAUAAUGAAGGUUUCUAACGAAUAAGAACCGGCUAACUCCGUGCCAGCAGCCGCGGUAAUACGGAGGGUGCAAGGGUUACUCGGAAUCACUGGGCGUAAAGAGGGCGUAGGCGGGAUAGCAAGUCAGAUGUGAAAUCCUAUGGCUUAACCAUAGAACUGCAUUUGAAACUGUUAUUCUAGAGUAUGGGAGAGGUAGGUGGAAUUCUUGGUGUAGGGGUAAAAUCCGUAGAGAUCAAGAGGAAUACUCAUUGCGAAGGCGACCUGCUAGAACAUAACUGACGCUGAUGCGCGAAAGCGUGGGGAGCAAACAGGAUUAGAUACCCUUGUAGUC
rnacentral:rRNA from 1 species